ensembl:snRNA U6 U6 spliceosomal RNA
UUACUCACUUGGGCAGCACAUACUCUACAAUUGGAACAAGGCAGAUGUUAGCAUGGCCCCUGGACAAGAAUGACAUGCAAAUUUGUGAAGCCGUCCAUAUUUUG